ACAGCCAAAAGCUAUGACCCAGACUUGUUCUUGACUGCCAAACUGCAGGGACAAAAAUAGAGAAGAGCAUAAGAGAAAGGAGGUCUAGUGACAGACCCAAAUUGUGAUCCACCUCAAGGGGAGGUCCAGCACCCUGACACUGUUACUGAUACUGUGGUGUGAUUGCAGAUAGGAGCCUAGCAUAGCUUCCCUUUGAGAGGAUCAAUAAGCAGCUGAAAGAGAAAGAUGCAGAUACUAGCACCCAACCAAUGGAAGGAAGCCGGGACCCCUGUGGUUGAAAUGCAGAAAAGCUGGAAGAAAGUGAGGAGGAGGAUGGCCCUAUCAACAGUCUCAACUGACCUGGAAUCCCAAGAUCUCUCAGACACUGAGCCACAAACAAGCAGCUUACACCAGCUGAUAUGAGGCCUAGACACAUAUACAGCAGAAGACUGCCUGGUUCAGCCUCUGUAAGAGAAAAUGAACUUAACCCUCUGGAGACUUGAGACCCCAUGGAGGGGGAAGACCUGCAAAGAAAACCAAACCAAACCUCCAGUGCUAUUUACUCCAUGUAUAAAGAUGUUUUGGACACCAAUUUUAUCAUAGAAAUAGUCCUGCAGGACAGUCAACGAGGGCCCAGAGGGUACCUGGAAGAAAAUGGAGGACAAGACAAGAGUCUGAUCAAGGGGAAAAUCAUGCAACAACAUGUGGUGUAGGAAACAAAAGGAGAUCAUAUAUUCCCCAAGAAAAUUGAUACACCAGUCACACCAAGUAUACUGGAAGGCAGGAAAAAUAUAUAGAACGGGAUUUUUCAGAGUAAUCACUUAAUAAUUGCAUUAUUAUAAGAGGGAUAACAGACCAGGAAUUCAAUGAAGAAAACUAGAGGCAAGAGCUCCUGAAGGUGCCUGCUUGUUAAUACUGUGAAUUGCUCUCUCAGUAGGUGCAGCUUCAUCUACCUAAAAAUGGUGGUAUUAAAACCAUCCAAGGAAACCAUUUUGUAUUUUGUAUGGUUGUGGACUUCCAUAGUUGUCUCUAUUCUGCAAGGAGAAGUUUCCGGAAGACAUAACUUGUUAAUAGAAAGAAGAACAAAUAUCUUGAUUAUUAUCCGCAAUUAUUCUGUUUUUAAUAAUGUAGUAAUAGCAGUAAAUUCUACUCCAAUAUGUGUAACUUUCCAAACACUGAGAAUUAGCCAGAUUUCUAGUACUAAGCAUGGUAUCUCUCUUAUUAAUAGAGUUUUAAGUACAGUUAGAGAGGUCUUGGUUACCGUGAAGGUAUGAAACCCAUGACUUUAUACUCAGAGUUAUGUUGGCUGUUGAUAUUGUUUAUUCUAGCCACAUAGUAUGGUUGGUUGCCUCUUUCCUGUAGAUUCAAAUUUCAAUAGAUAUAUCUACAGCGUUCUACUACCUAACAGAUCAGACAACCCUUUAAAGAAGUAACAGAAGGAGUAUUAGAAUUGGAGGAUCGAGGAAUUGUCUAUGAGUUUGAAUAUACUAGUAACGUCAGAUUUUUUCCUAUAAGGUCUCAUUAAAAUGAGUGCUUCAAAUGUGAGCCGAACAUGGACAGAAACAAUGGCCAUGCUGAUAUAGGGUAAGGCCCAUCAUUCUUCAUUCCUGCAUAGAAAACUGCAGGCAAGUGUGAAAAGAUGUAGUGAGUGGUGUUGGCUCAUAUUGUUGUUCAAGGCUGAAAACAUUAAAACAAGUAGAGUUUUAUGGAUUGAGAAAUUUAUAUGCUUAAAAUUAAAUAACAAAAAUCAAGUAAUGAUGGUUGUUUGGACUUACAUCUAUUCCUCAGUUCUAUUCUACUGACCUGCAUGUCUACUUCUGUCCCUGCAGUUCUUAAGAAUUGGAGGUUAGAGUGCCAGAAGAUAGGAGUUGCAGUUUUCAUUAGGCAGACAUGUGCUCAACACAGGUCCCCAGAAGGUGGUACUGGAUCUGCCAGAAGAGAGGACAACUGAGCCUACUUGUACAAUAACCAAGGGGCUGAGUCCAGGUUGUAAAAUAUAGUAUUAGGUUUCUAGAGGUAAGGAGGGAGAAUUUUGAAGCUGUUUGAAGAACUGCUGAAGAGCUUGGAGUAGUUCCUGACAUGUCUGAAUUAUGGCUCAAGAAGGAAAUGGAUGGAAGUUCUACUUAAUAAUUAAGUAAGAUAGCAGAGUUCAAGGGGGAAGGAAAGGAGAGGGCUAUAUUAGGUUGCACAGUCAGUCAGUUCAGGCCUUUAGAUGGAAAAUUCCCAGAAAGAGCAGAAGGGAAAGUCUACUUGUAUUGAAAUCAAGGGCAUCAGUAAAUGUCUUAGGUUACAAUUAGUGCCAAAUAGGGGCCUAAGAAGGGAAAAAACACUUAACAAACAUUCAUCUUUAACCUGUGACAUACAUGUCUCAGAGGGAAAAAGAGGAAAUGUCUUCUUGUGAAGGAAUGAUAUCAACAAUGCUAACCAGAAAUAAAAGAAAACACAAGAACAUAAGACAAAAUACACAUAAGAAAAAUAGAAUUCUCCUCCCCAUUCUCCUCCCUUUCAUCCUCCUCCCCAUCCUCUUUCUUUUCCUCCUCUUCUUCCUCCUCAUCUAUUUCUUUUCCUCAUAUCACAUUAAAAAGUAGUUUCUCAGAAGGGGGAAGAAAAUAAUCUCUGGAAAGUAUAGGGAGAGAUUGAUCUGGGAAGGAGGGAGGAAAGGAAAAGGGGACCCAGUUCAGACAUGGGGGGAGAAAAGAGUGAUUUGCUGCAUUUUUAGGCAGUAGUGGCACACACAUUUAACUGCAUCACCUAAGAAGCAGUGUCAGAUCUUGGUGUGUUCAAGGACAGCCUGGUCUACAGAGUGAGUGUCAGGACUAAACAGAGAAACUCUGUCAUGCAAACCACCCCUAAUGUUUGUUAAGUGUUUUUCUUAUUUCACGUUCAUAAGUUUCUACAUUUUUUUCUUACUUUAUUAUUUGGGAUUUGAAUUCAUUGCUACUUAGUUGUGGUCUAUUCUUAGUACUAGAAGAGGUGCUGUGAUUUAUUUAUUUUGAUAUUAUUAAGAUAUUCCCAUUUCUGUUAAGGUGAUAAGCUUUCUAUUGUUUAGUUUGAUGGGAUGGCAAGUGUACCGUAUGAUUUUCAAAUGUUGAAUUCCUCGUGUAUUCUGAAAUAAACACAAUUUUGUUGUAGUUGAUUGUUAGACAUUGUCAUAUUCCCCUUAAUAACAUUGUAUUAGGGUAAUUGCAUCAUUGGUCCCUGGGGAUAUAAUUUUUAAUUUUAUUAUAAUGACUGAAUCUUAUUUUGCCAUUAGCAUUGGAGUAAUUUCAUUAAAAUGAGAAAUUAUCUCUUAUACCAAAGAAAACUUUACAUACAAUUCAUUUCUUCUUAAAUAUUA